rnacentral:rRNA from 1 species
UACCGAGGGUGCGAGCGUUGUCCGGAAUCACUGGGCGUAAAGGGCGCGUAGGCGGCCUGGUAAGUAGGGGGUGAAAUCUUGCGGCUCAACCGCAAGGCUGCCUUCUAAACUGUCAGGCUGGAGUACGGUAGAGGCAGAUGGAAUUCCCGGUGUAGCGGUGGAAUGCGUAGAGAUCGGGAAGAACACCAGUGGCGAAGGCGGUCUGCUGGGCCGUUGCUGACGCUGAGGCGCGACAGCGUGGGGAGCAAACAGG